rnacentral:piRNA from 1 species
UCCACUCUGUCAUAGCACACCUCAAUGU